UGGGGAGUUGUUCCUGCUUGCAUCUAAGGAUCUGCGCUGAGUGGCGACAUACAUGAUCUUCAAUACCCACUCCAAUAAUACUGCUUUUAAAGAAGUUAACUUUCAACCCCGAUAUAAGUUCAAAGCACAAAAGGAUACGCUUUAUGUUCUGUAAACUAGAUAGGGAAGCUGAACUGAAUAUAAGGGUAUCAUUCGCAAACUGCAGGUGAGAUAGGGCAGGACCAGUCUUGCCAAAAUUUAGUCCCUCAAUUAGUCCCAUAUCACAACCACGCUGCAGCAUACAACUCAAUCC
rnacentral:lncRNA from 1 species